AAGCGGUGGAGCAUGUGGUUUAAUUCGGAAGCAACGCGAAGAACCUUACCAGGUCUUGACAUCCCGAUGCUAUUUCUAGAGAUAGAAGUUACUUCGGUACAUCGGUGACAGGUGGUGCAUGGUUGUCGUCAGCUCGUGUCGUGAGAUGUUGGGUUAAGUCCCGCAACGAGCGCAACCCCUAUUGUUAGUUGCCAUCAUUCAGUUGGGCACUCUAGCGAGACUGCCGGUAAUAAACCGGAGGAAGGUGGGGAUGACGUCAAAUCAUCAUGCCCCUUAUGACCUGGGCUACACACGUGCUACAAUGGUUGGUACAACGAGUUGCGAGUCGGUGACGGCGAGCUAAUCUCUUAAAGCCAAUCUCAGUUCGGAUUGUAGGCUGCAACUCGCCUACAUGAAGUCGGAAUCGCUAGUAAUCGCGGAUCAGCACGCCGCGGUGAAUACGUUCCCGGGCCUU
rnacentral:rRNA from 1 species